rnacentral:lncRNA from 1 species
GAUCAGUAGAGCCUCGCCUUACAGGGAAGAUCUGGAAAUGCCUGGUCAAACUAUGGAGUUACCCAAGCAUUGCAAACCAGCCAGUUACGGAAAGCACCUGCUGGAGGAGAACACAGCCCACAGAGCAGCACAUGGCUUCUCUCUAAAUGGCUGAUGGUAAAGGGCUUUCCUCUUGUGAAGGAGACUCUGCAGCAGGAGUAACUACAAAACCCACGAUCGAACAAACGCUCCUGCUUGUUUUCAGGCCACAUUAUUAUAUAAACAG